UCUGCUUUAACAUGAUGAUAAUUAUGUUGGUAGGGACAUCUGAAUUAAAUUGACGAAAUGCCAACUUCUCUGAUAGUGCUUG